UGGGGAAUAUUGGACAAUGGGCGAAAGCCUGAUCCAGCCAUGCCGCGUGUGUGAAGAAGGUCUUCGGAUUGUAAAGCACUUUAAGUUGGGAGGAAGGGCAGUAAGCGAAUACCUUGCUGUUUUGACGUUACCGACAGAAUAAGCACCGGCUAACUCUGUGCCAGCAGCCGCGGUAAUACAGAGGGUGCAAGCGUUAAUCGGAAUUACUGGGCGUAAAGCGAGCGUAGGUGGUUCGUUAAGUUGAAUGUGAAAGCCCCGGGCUCAACCUGGGAACUGCAUCCAAAACUGGCGAGCUAGAGUAGGGCAGAGGGGGGUGGAAUUUCCUGUGUAGCGGUGAAAUGCGUAGAUAUAGGAAGGAACACCAGUGGCGAAGGCGACCACCUGGGCUCAUACUGACACUGAGGUGCGAAAGCGUGGGGAGCAAACAGG
rnacentral:rRNA from 1 species